rnacentral:rRNA from 1 species
AUGAACGCUAGCUACAGGCUUAACACAUGCAAGUCGAGGGGCAGCAUGAACUUAGCUUGCUAAGUUUGAUGGCGACCGGCGCACGGGUGAGUAACACGUAUCCAACCUGCCGAUGACACGGGGAUAGCCUUUCGAAAGAAAGAUUAAUACCCGAUGGCAUAGUUCUUCCGCAUGGUGGAACUAUUAAAGGAUUUCGGUCAUCGAUGGGGAUGCGUUCCAUUAGGUUGUUGGCGGGGUAACGGCCCACCAAGCCUUCGAUGGAUAGGGGUUCUGAGAGGAAGGUCCCCCACAUUGGAACUGAGACACGGUCCAAACUCCUACGGGAGGCAGCAGUGAGGAAUAUUGGUCAAUGGACGAGAGUCUGAACCAGCCAAGUAGCGUGAAGGAUGACUGCCCUAUGGGUUGUAAACUUCUUUUAUACGGGAAUAAAGUGAGGCACGUGUGCCUUUUUGUAUGUACCGUAUGAAUAAGGAUCGGCUAACUCCGUGCCAGCAGCCGCGGUAAUACGGAGGAUCCGAGCGUUAUCCGGAUUUAUUGGGUUUAAAGGGAGCGUAGGCGGACGCUUAAGUCAGUUGUGAAAGUUUGCGGCUCAACCGUAAAAUUGCAGUUGAUACUGGGUGUCUUGAGUACAGUAGAGGCAGGCGGAAUUCGUGGUGUAGCGGUGAAAUGCUUAGAUAUCACGAAGAACUCCGAUUGCGAAGGCAGCCUGCUGGACUGUAACUGACGCUGAUGCUCGAAAGUGUGGGUAUCAAACAGGAUUAGAUACCCUGGUAGUCCACACAGUAAACGAUGAAUACUCGCUGUUUGCGAUAUACAGUAAGCGGCCAAGCGAAAGCGUUAAGUAUUCCACCUGGGGAGUACGCCGGCAACGGUGAAACUCAAAGGAAUUGACGGGGGCCCGCACAAGCGGUGGAGCAUGUGGUUUAAUUCGAAGCAACGCGAAGAACCUUACCUGGUCUUGACAUCCCGAUGCAUAACGGGUAAUGCCGUUAGUACUUCGGUACAUUGGAGACAGGUGGUGCAUGGUUGUCGUCAGCUCGUGUCGUGAGAUGUUGGGUUAAGUCCCGCAACGAGCGCAACCCUUAUUGUUAGUUGCUACGCAAGAGCACUCUAGCGAGACUGCCGUUGACAAAACGGAGGAAGGUGGGGAUGACGUCAAAUCAGCACGGCCCUUACGUCCGGGGCUACACACGUGUUACAAUGGGGGGUACAGAAGGCAGCUACACGGCGACGUGAUGCUAAUCCCUAAAGCCUCUCUCAGUUCGGAUUGGAGUCUGCAACCCGACUCCAUGAAGCUGGAUUCGCUAGUAAUCGCGCAUCAGCCACGGCGCGGUGAAUACGUUCCCGGGCCUUGUACACACCGCCCGUCAAGCCAUGAAAGCCGGGGGUACCUGAAGUGCGUAACCGCAAGGAGCGCCCUAGGGUAAAACUGGUGAUUGGGGCU